UUUGACAUGACAGACAAACACAAAAUGGUACAUAAUUGUGAAAUGGAAAGAAAAGGAUACAGUUUUCAACAUUUGUACAAGUAAAACCAAAAAAGCGUGGUGAACAUUUGCAUUCAAACUCUUUGCAUAAGAGUACCUAAAUAACAAAUUGAGUUUAUUUGUAUGUAAUCUUAUAACAAAUACAGCUGUUUUUUGAGUACACUAGAGAACAAAAAGCAUAAUGAAGGACAAAGCUGUGGAAAAGAUUAAAGAAAGGUUACAUUAUAAAACAAUGAAUCUGAUGUUAAAAUGAAAUGCAUUAUCUGAAAAUAAAAACAAUAGGCAGUAAACCUAUGGUAAUAGUGUAGUAGCUGCAGAAGAAAAUGCAUGGAGCCAAAGAUUUCUUCAUAUCAUUUAAAAUAAUAAAAUGUUUAAACAUCAAUUAAUGUAUAAUACUUUUCACUUAGUGAACCAAGUUACUUAAAAUAUGGAAAGUUUUCAAUAAUAUUCUAAUUUAUUUUAUAUAACUGCAGUUCAAGGGGUAUAAACCCAUUCACUAAUUAACUAAUAUGUGCUUUUCUAGUGUAUAUAAGGGGACAUGAAAGAACUCAAUCAUUUGCUUAUUUAUAGCAACACAGGUGUUAUAGAUGAUAUCAGUAUGGUCUCAAACAGACUCAGCCUGCAACUAAUAAAAUCUUGAGGUUUAGAAAAGACUGUAAUACCUUCCACGUGGCUUUUUAUGAACCACUGUGAUUGACAGCUGCAGCUCUGAUAACUCUCCCACCUAUUCACCUCACUGUUGACUUUUACAGCAUGUGUUUAAAGUAUAAGAUUUGACUUUCUCCAGAAUCCCAGUUCUACUGCAGCAGUCUGAAAGUUACACUAGCAAGACACAACGUGCCGUGAUGCAAUGCUGUGGUGGGCUAAAUGUUUCUACAAUACUGCCAUGUUAGCAGAAUUUACCUUGGCUGGUUUAUACAUGGUAGGAUUAAGUCUGAUUGUUGUGUUUGUUAUUACUGUAGAGAGUAAUCCACUGUGAGAACAAAAUAUAGUUCUUUAGUAUGGAAGGUUUCGACUCUGAAUGGAAAACAGAUGAAUAACAACACUCUCAUAAGAAACAUAAGUUUCUUUUUCACAGCAACAUGUAUCAUUAUUAAAAACAGAGUUGAGUACUAAGUUAAAUUUAUUUGAGGAACUUUGUAAAAAAAUUACUUUUAGAAAUAUGUUUACUACACUGUCCUUUUAACUUGUAUGUUUAUUAUGAAAUAUUACUACUAUGAUUACAUUGCUAAUUAUGAAUGAGUUUCAUUUUUGUCUUUGAAACGGCAAGGUUUCCACAUUUUGGUCUGUAUGAUGAUGUAAUGUUUAAAUAUCAAAUGACUGAUGUUUGGAUCAGUUUCUACUCGAGUAGCCUUUUUACCAAAUACUUUUACACUCUGGUAAUUUCAUGGACAGUUACUUUGUGCUUUUGGAGGAGUAGAAAUAAGUUGAAGCUACUCUUACUUGAUUGCAGUUUUUGGAUACUCAGUACACCUCUGCUUGAAAUGGGAGCCUUGUGAAAAGGUAAAACGCUGUCAUCAGCUCCCAAGCUGGAAAUGAGUUGGAGGCUGACAGGCUCUUAAUUUUGCCACAUCACAGAAGCCCCUGUAUGGCGCAGGAAGUGAGUGCAUGAUAGCUGAUGUGGUUCUUCCAAACCACAAGUUAAAAAUAAAGUGGCUCCUACCUUCCUAUCAGAAUCAAACUUCUUACUUUAAUCACACCUUUAUGGUUUUUAUUCUUUAUAACAUAAUUCUGAUGUGUCUUAAUUAUCAGACAAAGUUUUAAUGAACAACCAUGCAGACAAGAUUAAAUGCACAUAGAACUAUAUAUAUAUGUAUAUAUAUAUUGUAUAUAUAUAUAUAUAUAAAAUACAUGGGAGAUAAAUGUGAAUCAAGCACCAAACCAAAACAAGAUCCUGUGGUUUGAAAUUAUUUCAUGUUUUUCUGCUUUUAAAUUCAUUUAUCCCAUUUUUAUGCAAACACAAAGAAGAUCAUGACUCCACUGUUUUAUUUUUCUCAGCUGAAACCAUGGCAGCUUCAAUAAUCUGACUUGUUUCUCGCUCUGCACCAUUUUGGAUUCCACACUGCAGUUUGGCUUUAUGAUUUCCAUCUUUGUCUGUCUGUAGCAGGCCAGACAUCUCAUUAAAGAUCAGCGUCUCAGGCUGUCGAACAUGUGUAGGGGGUUGACGAAGUGACUCAGCAGAAAGCAGCCCGCCGACUCUUCCUGAAUCUCCCACAUGUGGAGCCUCUGUCUUCUUCAAUUCUUCUUGAAACCGCAAACAGCCAGAUUCUCUUCCUGUACACCAUCCACACGUUCGGAUCCACUCACACGCAGCUGAGCCGCUCAGCGAUGAAGUGUUUUAUAUGGUUACUGGAAAGCUAUGGAUACCCUGGAGGGUUUGAUGGGAUUUGAAGAUGAUCGCUUGCCCACAAAUCCACACUUUAAUGAUGAUGGACAACUCACUGAAAACUGAAUUAACAGUUAGUGUAGCAUCAUCACUGACUGUCGAAACCAGACGGCUCACUACUAAACAUAUGCAGGUUUAUGCUAAUUAUAUUAAUAUGGACAAAUAGCUGGACAUUUUUAUAUUUAAUAUAUCAGUUUUCAACAUCAGUGGAUAAGCCCUCAGAACCCAAUAAUCAUGAAACGCCCCCUUAAAGUGUUUCCAUGUUCUCAACACUAAGUUCCAAUCUUUUCUCUAUCACACCAGUGAACACCUUGAAAACCUAGUGGCAAAGAUCUUGUCAUGGUUACUGCUGAUCAUUUUAAACACUACAACUUAAAAUGACACAGAGUCGAUUGUAAACAAGUACAGCCAAACCAUAGAAGUGAGAUUCCCUCGGUUGUCCUUGUCAAACCAUGAAUGUUUGCUUCAUAGGUCGUUGCUACCAAGUCCACUUCUCGGAAAGUCCUUACUCGGCCUGUCUCACAACACAAAAUCCCACGCAACAUCAAAACAUUUCAUACUUUUCCCAAAAUAGCCUCCUUGACCAGGAAAUGGAUGAAGAAACUACACAAAAUUACCCAUGACAAAAAAUAAAUAAAUAAAUAAAAAAUAUAGAAAGCAUGACAAAAAAGGGACACAAUGACAUUCCCAUGAAAUUUCAAAAUUGCAUAAUUUUAUUAUGUAGUUUUUUUUCCCCCAUAGGGAAAAUAAGAGAGAAUCUAUUUGUUAUAACAGAAUUAAAGAACUACAUCCAAUACAAAACAGACUCCUGUCAUCUGGAGAAAUACCAAGAAGACUAUGCCGUCAAAGAUGGUCAAGAAGCUUUGUGGCAUGGUCAUCUCAUCUUGAAUGGGAAAAAACAAAAGGAGAUUCUUGUAGAUUUGAGAAGAAACAGGUCAAGCAACAUUUCUACCAUGGAAGAAGUAGAAGAGAUGGUGGAGUAUAAACAUUUCACUGUCCACCUGGAUGAACACCAAAGUCAUCUACAGGGCUCUAAAACUUUUCGAAAUAUAUUAAAACAACAGUGUAUUCAGUCCUUAUGACAGAGCCACUGUAAUGAGGACUGCUACAGGAGAUCCUUCCUGACAUCAGCAUUUACAUCUCUAAACAAAAUAGUAUAAAACGAGUCAUUUAAUGUACCUUUAAGGUGAACAAAGUAUUUUUAAGUUAAAUUUGACAGAUUUUAAAAUGUAACUUUUGAAAUCUGUCAAAAGAUUAUAAAAGCAUUUCCCCUACACAUGCUUUUGUAGGAGAGUGAUUUGGGGGAUUACGGGGGUGGGGGUCCGGUGGGGGAACAUUUCAGAAAGAAAUGACAGCCGAGAGUUAUGCUUGUUUGCAAAAUUGAUCUGUAUCAGACACAUUUUUAUUUGUUUUUUGCAACACUUGCUUUUAUUAAUUUACCCUGAGAGAGUUGCAUUUUACAGUGGGAAAGUUUGAGUCUCAUAGAGACAGGGAAAUAUUCAUUUGAACACAGCUUUAAUGCUUGCCCAGUUUGUGACAAACAAUACCAGACAGUCAGGAGCCACACAUCAACACACAAACACAUGCACGGUUGGGUAGCAAACCUGAUGUCCCGACCCGAAGGCUAUGAGCGGAAAGCGACACACACUGCUUAUUAAUGGUGUCUGAGAGAGUGUGUGUGUGUGUGUGUGUGUAUGUGUGUGUGUGUGUGUCACGCUGCCAGGAAUACAGAGACAAAGAAACACACGCGUACGCUUUUGGUUGUCAGCGUGUUUACUGCUUAAACUUGAGGAAACUCGAUUCUUUCUCAACAGAAACCUCGUUCAUCGGCUGUUGCACUGUCAGCUUAAAUUACCUCCACAUAACAGGAUUUUGUUACUUUUGAUUUAUGGGUGUACUGUUAAACUAUAUUUGACAUUUAUCUGGGAAGACAUGCAUUUAAAGUAAGAUCUCAUUUUUAAUUUAAUAAUCUAUGCUUUCCAGUCAUUUGGAUCCAAACAUCUGUUCACAUGUUUAAAAACUCAUGGAUAAUGAUUGAUUUAUUGAUGUUUUAAAGCAGUGUGCGUAAAGGGACUACACACAAAAACAAAACCAUAGAGACAGAAAAACUACAACUGUAUGUAAAUCAGAAAUUGAUACAUAAGGGCAACUAAUCUGGUUCAAUUUGUUUAGGAUUUGGUGAUUUUUCCCGUUUCCAACCAACUCUCACAGCAGCUUACAGAGUUAACGUUUUGAAAUGUAAAGUUUGCUGCGACAUUCUGAUGUCACAUGUCCCAGUGUCCCGCUGUAACGUGUUUGUGUGGCUCAGGAUGAGAAAAACACUCAUGACUUCCUCUUCAUCACUAAUCACUCUCAUCUGUUGAUCUUCUUGAUCUCUGUCUGAUAUACAGCAGAGCACAGCAGCCCCCUGAGACGCCUAAAAAAGCAAAACAGUGUGGGGGUGUACAGGCGGGUGUGCACGUGUGUGUUAUACAGUUUGUCCUUGUUUGUGGGGACAAGCUAGAUUUUGGACAUUAAUGGAGCCAUUUCAGAGCUGAGAUGUCAUUGUAUAGAUAAUAUUAAGACAAAUAGAGGAAAGAAAAUACAUAACUUCAUCCUAUUCUGAGCUGUAAGCAAGAGAUUAAGAUCCAAGACAGUUUGACGGUUUUAACAGAUUAUCUUAAUGAAGGUCCUCGCAAGUAAGGUAUGAUGCGCACGGGAGGCUGUGGUUUCACCACAUUAUGCAGGACAGUAGGGGACUGAGGGGAAGUAGAUGACAUAGUUUGUGGUCUGAGCUGAUGGUAAAACUGUGUGUGUAUGAGAAAGACUGGUUUCACGGAAUCUGGUCGAAAUCAGGCAUACGGUAAACGUGUUUUGGAUUUUAUUGGAUUUUUAUUGGAACAGAGAGGGAAGGAUUUCCAGUUUGGCUUAAUAAAGACAUUGGUUAUCAACCAGCACAACAAGUUUAUGUGUUGUUUCUUAACUGUUAUUGUCAGAGCUCAGUACAAAAGUAAAUAAGAAAAUAGUUGUAUAUAUAUUCUCAAAUUUGUUACAUAACUUUUUUUUCUACAUACUUAGGCAAUUACGUUUCAUAUUGAAAAACUGUUUUAAAGGAUGGUCAGCAUAUUCUAAGAGGUUGGAGUCAGCCAUUAGUCCCAGUAAAGAUGGGCUGGGUUAAAAUAAUUAUACAGUAAUCAUUUAACGAAGCAGUGUAUCUUUUGCCAGGUGUUUUUUUUUUUUUUUUUACAUAAGCUUAUUUUCAGUUUGCUUAGGUGUCACCUAUUUAGAGUAGUUUAUAACAAAUCUGAUAAUUUUUUAUUAACUUAGUUUCUUAACUACCUAUCAAUGUGUCUUGCCUGAUUGAAAGUAAAAUUAAUAUUUGGUAGAGGAUAAAAGUCCUGAUUGUCUUGAAGAUAAUCUGUGAAUGGAGCUAAAGAUUAGGGUGAUGGUUAAGAGGCCUUCCAAAAGAAUCGAAUUACAUUUAUUCAUUUUUAUAAGCAAGGAAUUGCUAUGGUAUGACCGAUAAAAUAUCAUUUAUAAUCACAAAAUUCUUUUUGUUUUAAUCAGUGGUUCACAUCUGUCACAUGAAAGAUGGCUCAACUGAUACAAAAACCACGAUCAGUGGAAUUUAGGUGUACGACUAAAUAGAAUGAAAUUAAACUAUGUUUAGUAACUUAGUAUUUUCUAAUGAUUUAGUUCCAUAUUCCAUUGAAAAACUGCUUAACCAUCAAUAGAAGAAAAUAAAAACACAUAGUUUGAAGUAGUUUGUUCAUAAGGUAUAAAUCAGAAGGACAGGACAAAAUGAGAGCGUGGAUAUAAAAUGUGGCCGUGAUUUAAAUCUAAAUAGACUGGUUGUUAAUUACAGCAAAAGUUUGUAAACCUGCCUGUUUUUUGUAUUUCUAAACUGCUGGAGAUGGUAUAAUAAACUAAAGAAAAUAAAAUGUUAAAUAUUAUUGCUAGCUGGAAGUGUGUAUGACCCAUGGAAUUAGUCACAUUUAAUUCAACUUCAGAGAUUGAGAUUUAGGUUGAAUUUGUUCAAUUCACAUUGUGCUGACUUUUAAAUGGACUCAAUUUAUUUAGCACUUUUCUAGUCAAACCAACCAAUCAAAGAACUUUACGUCAGAUCCACAUUUACCCUGUCGCACUGACAAACACGUGCAUUCACCCAGUGAUGCAUAGAUCGGUAGACAAUUUGGGUUUAUGUGUUUUGCCCAAGGGGACAAAACACGUAACUCCAGGAAGGAGGAAG